GGAAAAGCUCUAUGAGCUAGCCCUUCUCUAAGUCCUGAUCAGUCCAAAUGUAAUGAGAGCCAAAAAAUAUAGCUUAGGUUAACUUCUUUGAAUUAAGUCAAGUGGCAGAAUGUUGGCUAUUGACGAGUCACAUCCUUUGAUGCUAAUAAUUAGCUGCAGCAGAUUUAUAACAAUGUGUUAAUGUUCCUCUUCUCUUGUAAUAUAGCAGAAUUGAAACUGUGAAACGGCAACUAGUAACGAAUCUGCAUUUUCCGUAAAUAAAUUUAUGUUUUUCUUA